AUUUACUGCGGCUCUGAAGCCCGGCCCGUUUCGCCCGCCGGGCCCCGCGGGGUGACUCCCCCCACGAUUGCGGUCCCCCGCCCUCCGCCCGGCCGCCGCUGGCGGACCCCAAAGUCGGGGCGAGUCUCCAAACCGGGGAGCCGGCCCCGCCCCCACGCCGCGGCGGCGCCCUCCCUUCCCCCUCCCCGCCGCCCGCCUCUCCCCCUCCCCCCUCCAUAACUCAAAAGCCUGUCAAGCUGGUUCCAGACUCCUGGCGCCGGGCUCCGCUCCAGGAAAGAAAAAAAGGAAAGAGAAAAAGGGAAAAAGCCGGCGCGAGGGAGCGAGAGAGGCCCGCGGAGCAAAACCGUGCGCCCCGGCACGCACAGCCCCGCGGCCCCCGACCCCCCACGCCCCUAACCCUAACGGGGAUCCCAGUCCUAGGGACACCGGGCGCGUGCGCGACCCCAAUCAGUUAUUUAUGGGCGAAUUAAUUAUGUAGCUGCCAUGGGCGGGGGGGCCGGCAGGGGCCAUGCGACGCGGAGACCACCCGGCCGCGGUGGCGGCUCUCCUGCCGGGCCUCGGGGUCGGGAGGCGUCCCCACGCCGCCCGGGGAGGAUCCCGUUGUGAGAAAGCUGCCUCGGGGUGGGGUCCGGGAGGAGCGCGGGGGAACCUGAGGAAGCGGGAGAGACGGCUCGGAGACCUCCCAAUUAGACUGGGAGGGGAGAGGGGGGCGGGCGACGGAGCUGGAAAGAGCGGGCCGCGGAGACCGGGGCGUGGGAAGAGCCUGGCCUAGGCAUUUCUUCCCUUCCUUCCUUCCUUCAUCCCCAUCCUUACUGCGAGCCCACUACGUGCCACUGCGCCCACAGCAGAGGGCGGUAUUAGGGAGGGGUUAGGAGCAGGAAGGAAUUUCGAGGUACAGCUGGGUCCAAAUCCGGAUUUGUAUCCUAUACUCCCCUGCUGUGUGGCCUUAGGCAACGGCUUGCCCUCUCGGAGCCUCCACUUCCUCAUCUGCCAGUGGUCUUCAGGACUUGGGAGAUGGGGCGCUUGGGCAGAGAGUUUGUGGGGGCGCGGUCGAAGGGAGGUCCUGUCCUUGGGAAACUUUACAUAGAGGGGAACAUGCCCAGUCCCCCAGUAUUCCCCAUCUCGAAGCCCCGACUUUGGGUCUCAUAUAAUCUGCCUCUCCCCGGGGCCCACACAUUUGAAGGUCGUUAUUAAAACCACACCACCCCCAAGGCCACUGCUCAGGACGCUCACCCCUAGCUGGCUUCUCACCAGCCUGGCCCUGCAGAAGGUCGUGCAUAUGGCAGCCAGAGGGGCUCAAUCUAGUCCUUUUACUCCCCACCUCCGCUGCCUCCCCCGACUCUGCCCUUCACAUCCCCACCUGGGUUCUCCUUCCAACCUGCUUCUAGUCUGGGCUAGGGAGAUUGGAGCCCUGAGGCCAUGGGGGCUACGGGGCAGUGAGAACAGGGGUGGGGGCUCAGCUGGCCCUCCCUGGACAAGUGUCCCCCUUAUCUGGAGUGUCAAGGCGUUCUACUUCCAAGACUCAGAAGUGAAGGAGGCUUCCGUUUGCGACCCAGGAUUGCCUAGGGGUUUGCCUGUCUUCUUUCACCAAAACUUGCAAUAACUCUGUUAGGUGAAUGGGGCAGAUCCAGGUUUUAUGGGGCCUGAAGGUUUUACAAUCCUGGGGACCCACUUGAAGAAGAAUAGUGCAAAGUUAUGAAUAGGCGGUUAAGCUCAGGGCCUUGGUAAAUGACAGUCCCAGGAGCUAAAGCUUCAUUAGCCCCUCGGUAACUCACCUCUGUAGAUGGACAACACAACUGUCAUCCCUUUGCAGAGGUGGAAACAAAGCUUAGGCUGGCCCAAGGUCACAACAGGUAGAAAGGACAAGCUGGGAUCAAACCCAGGUCCCACCCCACAGGCAGCACCCUGAACUAACUGCCUCAGUAGGAAUGCCACCUUCCAUAUCAUCUACCCCAUGCCACAUCUCACCUGUCCCCACCAGUGCCCAGCCCAGGCAGGGUCAGUCAGAACAGCCUUUGCUUCCAGAACAGUCUGUGUCCCUCCCUCCAGAGGCCUCCAUGUCCCAAGGCUCAAGCCUCAGAGAUACUGUCUUGUGACAACACUCACAGAUCUAGUAAGUAGGUCUCUUCUAAACUUUUGAUUCCAGCAAUGGUAACCUGCUCACUCCAGAACUCCAGCUCCCCCGUCCACCUGGAGGGAGCGCACCCCUGUUCCCCGGUGGGCUCCCUGGUGUUCGGGGCUGGAUCUGUUUUAUUUGGCUCAGUAUUCCCCGCUCUUGACGCAGUACAGACAUACAGCCGACAGAGUGACUGUAGCAGUAACAUCUAUUCCCAACCUCGUGGAACAGGAUGUUGUUAAACUGCGGAUUCCCGGGCCCCCCUCAGAUUCUACUGAAUCAGACUCUCUGUGCACAGGGCCGGGGACUUGGCAUUUUACAAGCUCUUUUGGGUGCAUCUUAACCAUAGUAAAGUUCGAGACCACGGACCUACGGCCAGAAAGGACCAAAUGGUUGUGUCUAGACCAAGGCCUUCUCACCAGGGGGAGUUAUCUCCCCUAAAUCCGACCGAUUUCACCAGUUCCCCAGGCUCUUCUGGCUGAGAUCAAAUUAUUUCACUUAUCAGGCCAGGCACAGUGGGUCAUGCCUGUAAUUCCAGCACUUUGGGAGGCUGAGGUGGGUGUGUCACUUGAGGUCAGGAGUUCAAGACUAGUCUGGCCAACAUGGCAAAACCCCGUCUCUACUAAAAACACAAAAAUUAGCUGGGUGUGGUGGUGGGCGCCUGUAAUCCCAGCUACUCAGGAGGCUGAGGCAUGAGAAUCGCUUGAACCCGGGAGGUGGAGGUUGCAGUGAGCCAAGGUCGUGCCACUGCACCCCAGCCUGGGUGACAGAGCAAGACUCAAAAACAGCAACAAAAAUUAUUUCAUGUAUCAAAGACCUACUGCCUGCCCGGGACUGGGUCUGAGGCCUUAGAGAAUUGACCUCAUAGGAUACUCGCAAAAGCUCUGAGAAGUAGGGAGAAUUAUUGUCCCCAUUUUACAGAUGGAAUCUGAGGCCUGGAGAAGCAAAGUGGCUUUGUGGAAGGGAUACGGUGCUGGGGAAUGAGGAGGCUGGGAUGGGAGCUGAACUCACACCCUUAACUCCUUCCUUCCACUGCCCACAAGGCCACUGAUCCGAGGGCUGUAACUCGCAAGGGUCCUUCAGUAACAUCCGGAGAUGAGAGUUUACACACCAGCCUGUGAGCGGCUUUGAGAAAUUAAACACGCUACAGAGUCACUACAGGGACCUCAUGCUAAGACGCGCAACAAAAUUAGGCGACAGGCCCCAAAGAAAUCUAAUCAAGUAGGCCUCUUCUCCUCCGUAUCUUUGGAGUCGGUGUUCAGGGGAAUGUGUGUUUGCGGAAGGAUUUGAUGUAUUUGCUUCAGGCAAAUCUUUGCCUUUUUCUCUGCCUGCAGUUCUGUGCUAGGCAGCAAGAAAGCUCCACAGCUGGUGGCCAGUGCUGCAGGCCAGCGUGGCUCCCUGGGCUUCUCUGUAGGGCUGUGUUAUCACGCUUCCCCGGGUCCGGUGCUCUGUGCAAACGUAGCCUCUUUCCUGCUCCAGGAUGGGCAAGGCACAGGGGAGGUUUCAGGUGGAGAGAAAUUGAUUUAGUGGCCACUGCUUCUGAGGCUGGAGGACCUGCCUGAGGCAGAGGGUGUGGACUUGUUCUGGGAGGACCCAGAAGGCAGAACCACGGAAGGCUACCAAGGGAGGUAGGUUUUGCCUCAAGAUGAACUAUCCAAUAGUCAGGGCAGCUGUGUAGGUAGUGAGUGCCCCACCUGGGGAGGUAGUCAAGGACAGGCAGGGAUAGAGAGUGGUGUGUCUAGGAGUACAGAGCCAUGCCUCAGGAGAAGAAGUGGCUGAAGACACUUUGAGGUCUUUUGAAACUCUGGGAAUUUCCAUAUCUAACAUUACUGACCAGCCCAUGUGGGACUGAGGGGAUAAAUUAAGGAAGGGAAGGGGCAGGUUAUGAUGGCCAGACUGGGAACCACAGACCCCCAGGGAGACAGAAGCAGGCUCCUAGCCCUUGGUCUUCCAACAAAACUACUGUUUCUCUCUCUCCCCUCCCUUCCUUUCUUCCUUCCUUCUUUCCUUCCUUCUCUCUCUCAUCACCCUCUCCUUCCCUCCUUCCCUCUCUCCCUUCCUCCCCCACUCCCUCCCUGUCUCUCUUUCCUUUUCUUUUCUUUCUUCCGACAGGGUCUUGCUCUGUCGCCCAGGCUGGAGUGCAGUUGUGUGGUCACAGCUCACUGCAGCCUCAACCACCCAGGCUCAAGCAAUCCUCCCACCUCAGCCUCCUGAGUAGCCGUGGUGAGACUACAGGUGCACUCCAUCAUGACUGGCUAAUUUUUGUAUUUUUUGUAGAGACAGGGUUUUGCCAUGUUGCCCAGGCUGGUCUCAAACUCUUGGGCUCAAAUCUUCCUUCCACCUUGGCCUCCCAAAGUGCCGGGAUUACAGGUGUGAACCACCACACCUGGCCUCACUCUCAUGACCCCUCAUGGGGUCUUGCCAUGUUACCCAGGCAGGUCUUGAACACAAGCGAUCCUCCUGACUCAGCCUCCCUAAGUGUUGGAAUUGCAGACCUGAGCCACCGUGCCCGGCGCACUAUUGUUUCUUGAAAUUCAAAUACGCUUCUUUCUUUUUCAGUCAUUUGUAAAUGUCUGGUAACCUUUCAUAAUGUUAUUAAUAAUAAUAUUUCUAAUAACUGGUAAUCAAUAACUGUACUCUCUGUAGCAUUAACUGCAUGCUUACUGAGAAAGGAUGUACUCUAGUCCAGGCAUGGUGGCUCACGCCUGUCAUUCCAGCACUUUGGGAGGCCGA
rnacentral:lncRNA from 1 species